rnacentral:rRNA from 1 species
AUUGAACGCUGGCGGCAUGCCUUACACAUGCAAGUCGAACGGCAGCGGGGACUUCGGUCCGCCGGCGAGUGGCGAACGGGUGAGUAAAGUAUCGGAACGUACCUUUCAGUGGGGGAUAACGUAGCGAAAGUUACGCUAAUACCGCAUAUUCUGUGAGCAGGAAAGCAGGGGAUCGCAAGACCUUGCGCUGAUUGAGCGGCCGAUAUCAGAUUAGCUAGUUGGUGAGGUAAAGGCUCACCAAGGCGACGAUCUGUAGCGGGUCUGAGAGGAUGGUCCGCCACACUGGAACUGAGACACGGUCCAGACGCCUACGGGAGGCAGCAGUGGGGAAUUUUGGACAAUGGGGGCAACCCUGAUCCAGCCAUGCCGCGUGAGUGAAGAAGGCCUUCGGGUUGUAAAGCUCUUUCGGCCGGGAAGAAAUCGUAUGGGUUAAUACCCUGUGCGGAUGACGGUACCGGCAUAAGAAGCACCGGCUAACUACGUGCCAGCAGCCGCGGUAAGAC